GCAGGUGUAGUUCAAUGGCAGAACACCGCCCUUCCAAGGCGGUCACGCGGGUCCGAUUCCCGUCACCUGCUCCA
rnacentral:tRNA from 1 species